CACUGUCGAACCUGGUUGAUCCUGCCAGUAGUCAUAUGCUUGUCUCAAAGAUUAAGCCAUGCACGUGUCAGCAUCAACUUUAGCACGGUUAGGCUGCGGAUGGCUCACUACAACAGUUGUAAUCUCAGCAAUGUUUGGCUGCUAGAUGGAUAACUGUGGAAAACCUAGGGCUAAUACAUGCAUUCCUCCUGACUCAGUGGAAAGGAAGUGUUCAUUAGCAACAGAACUGGCCCAAGUUACGCUUGGUCACAUGAGGAGUCCUGAUGAAAGAGCAAAUUGCACAGCUCUGGCUGGCAAUGGAGUGCUUGAGCUUCUGACCUAUCAGCUUCCGACGCUAGGGUAUUGGCCUACCGUGGCAAUGACGGGUGACGGAGAAUUAGGGUUCGAUUCCGGAGAGGGAGCCUGCCAAACGGCUACCACAUCUAAGGAAGGCAGCAGGCGCGCAAAUUACCCAAUUCUGACACAGAGAGGUAGUGACAAGAAAUAACAAUAUGGGGCAUCCAUGUCCUGUAAUUGGAAUGAGCAGCGUCCAAAUUUCCUUGUGAGGAUCAAUUGGAGGGCAAGUCUGGUGCCAGCAGCCGCGGUAAUUCCAGCUCCAAUAGCGUAUAUUAAAGCUGUUGCGGUUGAAAAGCUCGUAGUUGGUUUUCUGUUGAGGGCAACCAGUCCGCCCACUGGGUGAGUAUCUGACUUGCUCUCGGCAUCUCUCUGGAAAUUGCUGCUGCACUUGACUGUGUGGUGCAUGACCCAGAGCCAUUACUUUGAGGAAAUUGGGGUGUUUCAAGCAGGCCUUGGCUGUUGAACACAUUAGCAUGGAAUAGUCAGCGAGACUCCAGCUCUUUCUUGCUGGUUUCUAGAGCUGGGGUAAGGGUCAAGAGGGAUGGUUGGGGGUAUCCGAACUUGGCUGUCAGAGGUGAAAUUCUUGGAUUUGCCAAAGUCGCACGACUGCGAAAGCAUUUAUCCAAAAUGUCUUCAUUGAUCAAGAACGAAAGUUAGGGGAUCGAAGACGAUCAGAUACCGUCCUAGUCUUAACCAUAAACGAUGCCAACUAGGAAUUGGAGGCUGUCUUCACUUUGACUCCUUCAGCACCAUAAGAGAAAUCAAAGUCUUUGGGUUCCGGGGGGAGUAUGGUCGCAAGGCUGAAACUUAAAGGAAUUGACGGAAGGGCACCACCAGGAGUGGAGCCUGCGGCUUAAUUUGACCCAACACGUGGAAACUCACCAGGCCCAGACACAGGAUGGAUUGACAGAUUGAUCGUUCUUUCAUGAUUCUGUGGGUGGUGGUGCAUGGCCGUUCUUAGUUGGUGGAGUGAUUUGUCAGGUUAAUUCCGUUAACGAACGAGACCUUAACUUGCUAAAUAUCCACGUGCAGCCCAUCUGCUUCACGGUUGGCUUCUUAGAGGGACUUUGUGUUUCCAACAUGAGGAGGUUUGAGGCAAUAACAGGUCUGUGAUGCCCUUAGAUGUCCUGGGCUGCACGCGCGCUACACUGGCGCUCUCAGUGAGUUCUCGUCUUGCCCGAAAUGGUUGGGUACCCUCUGAAACCAGCGCCGUGAUGGGGAUAGAUUAUUGCAAGUAUUAAUCUUCAACGAGGAAUUCCUAGUAAGCGUGAGUCAUCAGCCCAUGUACUCUGCGU
rnacentral:rRNA from 1 species